GCUAACUCCGUGCCAGCAGCCGCGGUAAUACGGAGGGUGCAAGCGUUAAUCGGAAUUACUGGGCGUAAAGCGCGCGUAGGUGGCUUGAUAAGCCGGUUGUGAAAGCCCCGGGCUCAACCUGGGAACGGCAUCCGGAACUGUCAGGCUAGAGUACAGGAGAGGAAGGUAGAAUUCCCGGUGUAGCGGUGAAAUGCGUAGAGAUCGGGAGGAAUACCAGUGGCGAAGGCGGCCUUCUGGACUGAUACUGACACUGAGGUGCGAAAGCGUGGGUAGCAAACAGGAUUAGAUACCCUGGUAGUCCACGCCGUAAACGAUGUCGACCAGCCGUUGGGUGCCUAGAGCACUUUGUGGCGAAGUUAACGCGAUAAGUCGACCGCCUGGGGAGUACGGCCGCAAGGUUAAAACUCAAAUGAAUUGACGGGGGCCCGCACAAGCGGUGGAGCAUGUGGUUUAAUUCGAUGCAACGCGAAGAACCUUACCUACCCUUGACAU
rnacentral:rRNA from 1 species